UCCAAAGACCUGGGCAGAAGACUUGAUCCUCUUGACCCAGACUGAGGAGGACGAAUAUAAACACAGAUUCCCAGGCCCCUGUGAUCAUGGCCCAGUAUGAGCUUAGCAGCGCCAAGUGCUUCCUGUGUUACCCAGUCCUGAACUUGGAACCCUGGAUUUUGGGCCUUUUCUCCACACAUCCUGCAUGCUCUUCUGUCCCCUCCAGCAGAUCCAGCUGCCCCUGCCUUCUUCUCCUCCUGGUUCUGCACCCUGGUCCCUGCACAGUAUUUUUAAGAUGACUAAGCCUCUGGGAGCCAGCCCAGGCUGAGUUGGUAGCUUCCUGCUAGUCCCAGGAGGGCACCUGUGGUCCCCACCUUCACCUCAGUGAAUGACAGCUGCUCAGGCAACAGGCGAUGAGCAGGUGGGUGGGGAGAUUGUUGCCGUGGUUCAACUGCCUCUUCCAGGUGAUUGUUUCAGGUUUUGCUCCUGUGACUAAACGCCAUCUGUACAUCUGUCCAACCUGCUGUUUAUCUGACCAACCUGCAGCUCCAUCUGUUGAUCAUUUAUGCACUCAGUGUUUGGUGGGGAUCAGCAAGGACAGCUUUCAGUAAACGCCAGAAAGAAAGAAGCUGGUGGCCUUGCACCGCGCUGACCCAUCCCCCACGCUCCUUCACCCCUCAUCCUCCUUCCCUGAGCUCCCACCACCACUGCCCCAUUCAGAUCCUCCCACAUCUCUUCCUAAUGACCUCCUUGCCCAUAUUCUCUGCAUGCUCUAACCCGUCCCCCAUAUUGACUACAGGGGAUCUUUGUACAACUCAAAUCCCACCUGAUCAUUCCCUUGUGGAGGAAAUAUUGUGCCCUUCAUACUGCACAGUGUUGAAAUCUCUUGGCGGAACCAGGAGGGUUUCACAACUGAACCCAACCUGCCUGAGUCACCUCUGGUUCUGAUAAAGCACUGAUUAAUGUUGAUGAAUGAAUGAACGAAUAGCAGAGCACAAACUCUAGCAGGGCUCACACCCUAAACAUUAUAUUAGCACCUAUCAUCAGGGAUCCUGAUCCACAAGUAGAGCCAGCCAGAAAGACCAGACCCCAGUAGUGGUCAUAGGGACACAAACAUACUGUUCCCUUGUUCUGGAUACAGUCCCAUCACUGUUUCCAUUCCCAGGAAAUAAGCCUGCAUAGGAUCCUUCCUCCUAGAAAGGUGCUCAGAGCUCCAGAGCCUUUGGUUCUGUGUCUUCUUCUUGGCAAGUCUGAUUAGUGGCUAUGUCUCCGGAACAGAGAACGUCUGGCCAAAGAACAUGGCUGUUCCUACAAUGCUUGAGGCCCUGGUACCACCUCACAGUCUUCACUCAUGUACACAAAAAGUAGUUUCCAUGGUAUCUGAGCUGUAACUAAUGGAACUGUGGUCUCUUCAGGACCACCGGGAUUUUUUUCCAGUGCUGAGUUAGAGGUCCCCUCAGCUCAGUACCUCCUCCGGUCCUGCUCAGCCCAGCCCUUGGGGGUGUUCCUGGUGCCUGAGAGAAUGCAGCUAUCUUCAGGGAGAAUUUACAGGCACCCUUGCCUCUGAGUUCUGGUCUCAGGGACUGUAGGUCUGAGGACUUCAGUAGUCACCAGCUGGAAAAGUCCAAUGAAGACUCAAUUUUAAAGUCUCCCCUCCAGGCAAUUUGUAGCCAGACAAAACAGGAUGUAGGGGCUGAACACACUGCUGACAGAAUGUAAAAUGGGAAUACAACUUCGGAAAAAUGGUUUGGCAAUUUCUUAAAAAGUUGAAUGUGUAUCUAUCCUAGGACACAGGCAUUCCAUUCCUAGGUAUUUACUCAAGAAUCAAAAGCUCAUAUUCACACAGACAUUUGCACCUGAACAUUCAGAGCCUGGAACUGAAAACAAUCCAAAUGUCCCUCAACUGGUAGAAGGAGAAAUGAAUUCAAUGAAUUUACAAUGAAAUAGUACUUAGCAAUGAGGAGGAAUUAACUAUUUGCAUACACAACAACAUGGAUGAAUUUCAAAAUAAUUAUGCAGAAUGAGAAAAGAACAAACAAAAAUGGUAUGUAUUGGAUGAUCCUAUUUAUUUAAAAUUCAGAAAAUGCAAACUCAUCUAUCGUGACAGAGAAUAGGGUGGUUGCCUGGAGACAGGGGACAAGAGAGAAAGGGACAGGAGGAAACUUUUGGGGGUGAUGAAUAGAUUCAUUGCCUUGAUGGUGAUGUUUUCACAGGUGCAUAUGUAAGUUAAAAUUCAUCAGAUUGAACAUUUUAUGUAUGUGUAAUAUAUAUUAGUAAGUAUAUUAUAGCUUAGUAAAGCUAUUUUUUAAAAAAGAGGCGCUAGGUAUGGUGGUGUGCCCCUAUAAUCCCAGUACUUAAGAGGUUUGCUGUGGGUUCAAGGCCAGCCUGGGAUACAUAGUGAGUUCAAGACCAGUAUGAACUAUGUAGUAAGACCCUGUCUCCAGAAACUAAAAAUUAAAAUUAAAAGGACAAGGUAGAGUCUCCUUGCACUCCCUCCAGGAUACACAACUGCUCAGUACAGUCUUCAAGGCCUUAAGCCACCAGGCUAUCCUCUUUGUCUUCUCUGGUUUGCUUUCCUGGAAGUCUGUUUAUGAGGUGUGGCUCUUUAAAUUGUGUCACAACAACUGGCAGGGCUCAUGCUUCAUCCACUUGGAGAACUUCUGCUGCUUUGUUGAUGUCCUGCUUGGUGGCGCGCUUUCCAGGAAAGCCUUCCGGGUCCUGGCAGAUCACUGGUAGUUUCUUCCUUGGUGGCCCACAGUCCAGUGGCACAGAUGACUGUUAUAACCAUCUGCUCCAGCAGACUGUGGACUCACUGAUGCCAACAACAGUGCAUGAGCCACCUUGCCAUGAUUGUGCUACAAGGGCAUCCAGAAGGCUUUACUCAGUCGAUUCUAUGUUCAAGAAGGAAGGUCAACAUGAGAUACAGUGCAAGAGGUCUGAGGAGCAGACAGGACUGGAAAGAUCCAGGAAGGAUAGAAGGCCUGUUUCCAGAGAGAGCCAGACUGCUUUCCUGGGAAAGGGAAAAAUCACACUAGUUACUAAUGGGAUUUUAGCCAGUGGUGGGCAUAUGGGAGCUGGGCGUUUUCUUCCUCCCUGUACAGGAGAGCCCUUGGGGAAUCCACAGAGAAGCCCUUUCCUCAACCAAAGAGAAGGUCUGGCUUUACAUCCCCCCUCCCAGGAAGAGGAGAAGACUGAGGCUUCCUUUUAAGACAUAUGGGGAGGUGCCAGAGUCUAUUGCUUGUCUUCAUCCUGCACUCUGGCAUGUGUGGCAUGGGCUGAAGGCACCACAAUGAUUCCUAGACACAGAGACAAAUACCACUGGAGGCCACAUGAGCUCCUGAAGGUUUUAGUGAUUUCCAAGCCAGUCCUGGCCUCCUUAUGUUUCAGGGGUCCUGGGAAGUUCUCUGGCCUGAUGAGUGGCCAGAUGCAGCCCCUUUCCCACCCAGCCCAUACCGUGGCCUUCCCAUUCACCAACAGCCCUAGGUAAGCUGGUUGGUUUUUUGAAGUCAGGCCCUGCGGUCAGUGAGAACUUCCAUUCACCUAGAUCAAUCAGAGAACAGUGCAGAGGCCAAGUACAGGAAGUCUAGGGAGAAAUCUGGCUCUGAGGAUCAAAUCUGGGAGGCUAAAUAUCUAGAAAUAAUGCUCCCCAAGAUUCCAUGUUGGUGACUAGUGAUACAUGCGUGUACAGGGGCCCAAAGUUCCUGCACUAUUAGCUGUCCUUUGGGGGGAGGGGCAGCCAGAACCAGAGGCACUUGGGGGAGAAGGAAAUGAGGCAGAAAUGCUGUCCAAUAAUGAACAAACUAUGUCCUGAUGCCACAGGCAGAUGGUCAUUUAUGCAACACUCUUUUAAAGCCAGAGUGACAUCCAUGGGACAAUGGACCUUGUUUACCCUUGAACAGAACCAGCCCUGAGCUAUGCUGUCUUGGAUGGGAUCCUAACUGGCUAAGUAACUGGUUUUGCACCAAUGACUUCCUUCAAAGCCAGCCUCUCUUAUGGCACCUUCCUUGGAGAUGGUCCUUCUAAUGUCAUGUUUCUUUAAAGUUUUUCAAGAUGCCACCCCAAGGUGAAGUCCUAGAAACUCCUUCUUAAGCUCACAGACCUUGGCUUAGGAAAGUCACUGAGACUCAGCAUGUGAGCAUAUUCCUAGAAGAGGGUCUGUAUGCAGUGCUUUUCUGUCAUGGCACAGGUAUGUUUAGGGCACCUGUGACACGGGGCUCUGUCCUGGCUGCCUUGGGAAAGACAGAUGACUGCCCUACUCACCACUCACUGACCACAGAGCCAGGUCCAGGAAGAGGCUCUAAGGAUGUGCAGUGAAGGACUCAGGCCUGCUCUCAAGGAGUCCACAGCCUACUAGGGGCCCUGAGAAGCAAACACAAGCAGCAUACUCUUUUGAGCUUCUCAAAGAAUGUUCCAAAACAGAGAUACUGAGAGAAAGCAGCAAUACCACUGUUUUGUGUUUGUUACUAGCAAACCAAAAUUUUUAUGUUUUUAAAGUAAUUUUUAGUUCAUAUCAAAAUGAAGGAAAAGUACAGAGAUUUAUGUUAUAUCCUCUUCCCUGUAACACACACAGCCUUCUCCACUGUCAACGUCGCGAAGGUGGUACAUUUGUCGCAAUCAAUUUGCCGUAACAUUUAUCACCCAAAGUCCAUAGUUCACAUUAGGAUUCACUCUUGGGGCUAGACAUUCUGUGAGUUUGAGGAACAGUACUGGUUUUAUCUCAUUUAGGUGGGAGUCUUUGGCAGAAUUCGAUGAGCUGGUCUUUCUGUUGGGAGGAUUGAGGGUCACGGCAGAUUGUGGAGAAGAGCCACCAGAACUGUCUCUUGAGUAAUAAACAGAUGUCCACAUGGCAGAUAAGGGGGAAAAGGGCAGUCCAGGCCAAAGAAACAACUGAGCAAAUAUCAGAAAACAUCUUUGAGGUAAGAUAAGACAGGCUUCCAAUGCAGUGCAGUCUUAGCUUUGGGAGUUAAAUUGCUGUGGAAUUUCUAGAGAAAUUCCAAAUUUUAGAACAUGAUGCAGUGAUAUUUGCCUGUUGAUGCCAGAAUGUGAGUCUGAGUCUGGGGCUUGCCUAGUUCUCCUCGCUUUGUCUCUGCAGGGAAUAACGUUGGGACAAGUCAUGCUAAAAGCCCUCAGUAAUGUUUUCCUGUGAAGACACACCAAUUCCCCACUGGAUAAUUAGGCUGCAGUGGGAUCCUCUGAGAAUGGUUGCAUUCUCUACAGGCUGGAACUGCAGCCGCCCAGGGACUGGUCCUCUUUAACUGAUGCAUUUGACCUCCCCUCCUCCUCUCCCUCUUCCUCCUCCUCCCCUUCAUCUGCCUCCUCUGCCUUCUCCUUCUCCUUCUCCUUCUCUUCUCUUAAAGUCCUGGAACCUGAACUUACUGAGCACUGAGCCACAUCCCUAGCCUAUUUAUUUAUUUAUUUUUUAACUUUUAGACAGGCUCCGUCUUGCAAAAUUGCUAAGGCUGGACUUUUUUUUUUCCUUAACAUGGAUGAGCUUGCUUAAAAAGCUGUUUUAUUCAUCUAUGCAGAUAAAGUAUCAAAAGAUGCUGUAAUUGAUUAGAAAAUAACUUCAUUCUAUAGUAAGUUAGCAUCAGAGGACUUUCAUUCUUUCAGACCUGGGCUGAUUGAUAGUGAGUGCAAUGGUCUGCCACCUUCUCCCCAUUCCCUUCCACUCUGGAUCCUGAAAAGGUCUCUCUGGCUUUGACUCUGCCUUGUAGACUGGGAGAACACUGGUAGAACAUACCCAGCCUGUCUGGUCAGAACUCGCCCUCCAGGGAACUGCUGUAAGGACUGUGAGGACAGAAACGACUGAGAUUAGGCUCAGGAAAAGGCACAAAGUUCCCUAAUUACCUCUAAAUGGGGCUGAGGGUAUAGAAGAUGAUGGUGCCAUCUGACCCUGAAUUUUGGGACCUCUCACUAGGAAGAGAAUGGCAUUCACAGAAAGAAAUGUCCAUGACCUUGGAAACUCAUUAAAACCAACUGGCAUCAGGUGGAACUACGGUGUCCCCAGCAGGAGGUAGGUGGCCAGGUGGAGGGUUGCAAUGGAGGAGGAUAACAGAGGGCUCAGAACUAAUUCUAGUCCCUCAGAGGCCAACCUGGCUUCCUGAUAUAGAAAGCCAACUUCUCUGGGAAGCAUCGCUCAUAAUUGUCUUCUAGAUCCAAGGUGGCUGAUGUUUCCCAGAAGCUCAGCUCAUAGGCCAGGCUCCCCCCAAGCAAUAUGCUGUCAACCCUGCCUUAUGGGGCUGGAGGCAGCGCUUCUUGGGAUUCUGUGAAGAUCAUGGGUGUCCUCCAGGGUACCUUUUUGCUCCCAACACUAAAGCCAGUGUUUGGUCACCUGUCAUUGGCACCUUGCACCGAUUGGUUGUACUACUGAACCCUAUUUCUAGGGUCAAACAUUUUGCUGGUAGCUCAGAAAUCAAAGGAUGACAAAGAACUCUGGCUACUGACCCGGUAGCCCAGCCGAUGCCAUAACUGGACUUUGGGCCUCAGAUCAGAUGACUGAGUUCUUUCUUUGUCCCAAGGAUUCAACACAACCAAGUAGUAAGGAGGAAGGGAGUUAAGAGCCAGGCACCGUGCUAGCUCUUUUAGCUUCAUUUUCUCUUUUAAUCUUCUCAAAUACCCUAUGGGGUAGGUGAGCCUGAGAUUCAAAGAGGAAGUGAUUUUUUUUUUUUCAGGAUUACACAGCAUAAGAUCCACCAAUUUCUGUUUUAGGGAAUAUAGUUGCUGAAGAAAACAAAAAAUGCUGGGUGAAACAAAAAGAAUCUUAAAAGGAUCAAUGACGAGACUAAAAAGAAUAAAGUCAAAAUCUAGGGGGAGGCGAGAACCUAGAUAAAGAGCAUUGGAAGCAUUCUGACCCUGAACGUCUUUGAUGAUUAAAUACAUGAGAAACUCAGCAGUUUUUUUCUUCUUUUGUGGUGUGGGUGAAUCAAACUCAGGGCCUCAUGUGAACUGGGCAAUUGCUCUACCACCGAGCUAUGUCCUCUGCUCUUUAUAAUUUAUUUUGAGACAAGGUCUCACUGUGUUAGCCAAGCUGACCUCAAACUUGUGAGCCUGUCACCUCAGCCUCCCUAGUAGCUGGAUUACAGGUGCUCACCCCCUUGCAAGGAACUCUGUUUUAAUAUUAUGUGGCGCAGUGUAGACAAAUGUCAAGCUCAGAUCUGUCCCCAGUGGGGAAUCAAUCAGGAGGCUCCUCUAGAUUGAUACAUCACUUCAAACACCCUCCCUAUGGUGGGAAUGUAAAAGCUAGGGGGAAAGUGAUGCUUCUGAGUUCAAAUCACCAGCCAGAUUUCAUGUGGAUUAGCAGCCCAAGAUUAUAUCAUGUGGAUGGUCUGAAAAAUCUCCAGUCACAAAUUUGAACUACUUCAGGACUGUUAAUGUCCCCGGGCUGCUGGGGAAAUUACCCAUAAAUUCUCUCUGGGGGAAGCUUUCUUUAUUUUAUACCUUGAUAAAUUGCCACCAAUAAGUUGUCAAGUGUAUUGAACAGUACAGAAGCUCUAGAUAGCCAAGCAAGGAAAAACAGGGAAUUCAAGCCAGCAGAGAUAACUGAUGGCAGAUAAGAACAUAUAGCAACCAUAGGUCAGGGCACCGUGAAACACUGAUUACAGAAAUAACCAUACUUACUCUGUGUAAUGAAAUAAAAGAUAAGCUUGGGAAUAUCUGCAGAAAACAGAAGUCUAUAAAGAGGGACCUCACAAACUUGAGAAGGAAACAGAACUUCCGGAAAUUAAAAAUACCAAGCCUGAAAUGUUUGAAUGCAGUGAAAGAUUAGAUUUAGCUUAAAAGACAGUUUGUUAGCUGGCAGGCAGAUUAGAAGAAAAAUCAAUGGAACAAAGCACAGAGAGACAAAAGAUAGAAAAUAUGAAAGAAAAGUUAAGAGACAUGGAAAAGGCUAGCCUAUAAGUCAUAGAUGCUCUAGAAGAGGCGAGAGACAGGAGAGAGGCAAGGUGUUGGCUGAAAUUUUUCCAGAGUUGAUAGCAACCACCAUUCACACGUGUUAAGAAUCCCAAGGAAUCCCAAGCAGAAUUUUAAAAAAGAAGGAAAAGUAAAGGAAGAAAUAUAUGUGGUAAAUUUCAGAGAGAGAGAGAGAGAGAGAGAGAGAGAGAGAACCAGAAGCUAAGUCAAAACCCUUAGACUAACACUAAUUUGUCAAUGGUAACAACAGAAGAGGGAAGAUGACCUGACAACUCAGACUUCUUCACCUAGUGAAAUUAUCUUCCAUGAAAAAGCACCAAACACACUUCCAGACAACAAAAACAGAGAAUGUGGAGGCUAGUAACUCUCUUAACGAUUGUCAUGGUUUAUGUCUGUGUCUCCCAGGUCUCAUGAGUUUGCAUUGUGUAUUUGUGAUCGAUUCACUGUCUAGUGCUUGGAUUGAUGGUGUCAGUGCUCCUCCCACAUAGGGGUGGAGCCAGGAUAUGAUGUAAUGGCAGGAAGAAGGCGUGUCUUGCUCUUUGCUGGUUCCAGCUUGCUGUUUGCAGCCGCCAAGAACGGUGGCCCAGCCAUACCUGCCUGCCUUGGAGCCAACUGAGUGUGGACUGAAACCUCCAAAACCUGUAAGAAAUAAACCUUUCCUUUCCCAA